CAAGGGAUGUUUUGGGGAUCAUCACAGUUUCUUAUGAGGAAUGUAGUGAAAUUAUGGAUUUUCUUCUUGGGCAAAAUUUUCUAUACAAUUUACAAAUCCCCUGAAAUCCAGCUGUGCAUCUCAGGUUAAGCACCCUCCUAUAUACAGUGGAGCCAUUGAAGAGUUUUAGGCAGAAAUAUGGACUGACACAACUUUUGUUUUUGAAAAUCACUCUGCUGGCGACCAUGUGGAGUUGGACUAGAAGUAAGAGGGAGUCCAGAGACAGUGAGGAUGAAGCCCAGGUGUGAGAGAAGACAUGGAUAUAGAGAUGGAAAAGAGGGAGUAGAUUUCAGAACUGCCUAGGAUUAAAAUUGGAUGAAGUUUUACAGAUAAAUUGAGUUGAACAUUAGCCUCCAGAUUUCUGCUCAGCUGGUGCCAUAAACCAGGGCAGUGAAUAUAGGGGCAGGAGUGGUUUGUUGGGGCAGGAAUGUGAUGGUGUCGUUUGAGACAAUUUGAGUCUGAGCUUGCCGUGGGUCAUCAGGUGAUGAUGCCCAGUGGACAGGUGGACACCUGCAUCUGGAGCUCAGGGCAGAAGCCUGGGCUAGUUUAGAUAGAGAUUUGGGCAUCUUCAGAGGACAGAUGGUGGUUGUAGAUGUAAGAAAGUAGAUGCUCAUGAAAUCACUCAGAGAGCAUGUUUAGCGUGAGAGAAAGCAGAGAGCAGAACCCUGGGGAACCCCACGGUUUGGGGAGCUGAUGUGCAAAGAGAAAAGGGGCAGGCCUGGCUGAAGACGAAGGUGGGGGUUCAAAGGAGGAGAAGAAAAUCAGGAGAGAGUGAUGCCAAAGGAUCCAGAGAAAGAGAACAUUUCAGAAAGUAAGAGGUCGACAGAGUCAAGUGCAGUAAACAGUACAAGAAAAUAGAGAAUGGAAAGCUGCCUCACUAAGCUUAGUGAACAGGAAGUAACAAGGUGUGUGGCACGUGGUAUAUGUAGUAAGUGCAGUUUCCAUGGACUAGUUAGCAUUUAAAUCUAGCUGUAACGCGGUUGAGAAAUUAAGGGCUAAGGAAUUGGUGUUGAAGAAAGCCCUCAGAAUCCAUUCUGUGGAAGGUGACCUCAGGAGAAAAUCAGCUGGACAGGAGGAAUGGAGCCCCAGUGCUCCCUCACCCCCAGGAAGCUGUGUCCAGGCAGAAGCUGCACCUGCUGGGCUCUGUGGAGAGCAGCGGGGAGAGGACUGUGCCGAGCUGCAUGACUACUUCAAUGUCCUGAGUUACAGAAGCCUGGGUAACUGCAGCUUCUUCACAGAGACUGGUUAGCAACCAGAGGCAUCUUCUGGAAGAUACACUUUUGUCUUUGCUAUUAUAGAUGAAUAUAUAAGCAGCUGUACUCUCCAUCAGUGCUGCGUGUGUGUGUGUGUGUGUAUGUGUGUGUGUGUUCAGUUGAGUGAAUAAAUGUCAUCCUCUUCUCCAUCUUCAUUUCCUUGGCCUUUUCGUUCUAUUCCAUUUUGCAUUAUGGCAGGCCUAGGGUGAGUAACGUGGAUCUUGAUCAUAAAUGCAAAAUUAAAAAAUAUCUUGACCUGGUUUUAAAUCUGGCAGUUUGAGCAGAUCCUAUGUCUCUGAGAGACACAUUCCUCAUAAUGGCCAGCAUUUUGGGCUACAAGGUUUUGUGGUUGAUGAUGAGGAUGGCAUGACUGCAGAGCCAUCCUCAUCUCAUUUUUUCACGUCAUUUUCAGUAACUUUCACUCAUUCAAAGGCAGGUUAUAAGUAAGUCCUGGUAGCAGCCUCUAUGGGGAGAUUUGAGAGUGACUAAAUCUUGGUAUCUGCCCUCAAGAACUUACAGUUAAAUGGGGAGACAAUGUUGUCAUGAAAAGGUAUUAUAGUAAGGAGAGAAGGAGACAUACACAGGCCUUCAGGAAGAGACGACAGUUUGGGGUGAGGUAGUUGGCAUAGGCUUAUCUGUGAUGAAGUGGCCUGGGAGCACCAAGGGGAUGUUGAGGCUAGUCUGGGAGGAGCAGGAGUUUUGUCUAGGGAACUUGUAGGAAAUUCUUGGAGCUGAAAGUCCCACAAAGAAGGCCCUGGCACCAAGGGAGUCAGCAAACUUCAGAUUUUAUUCUCUGGGCAGGCAUUUCAAGUUUCCUUUUGCUGUGACAUACUCAUCCAUUAGACAGCCUGAUACAGGCCUGUAGCCUCUUCCGGCCGUGUGUGCUGGGGAAGCCCCAGGAAACGCACAUGCCCACACAGGGAGCCAAGUCGUAGCAUUUGGGCCUUGAUCUACCUUUUCUGCAUCAAUACACUCUUGAGCCUUUGAAAAAAGAACGUUUCCCACUAAAAAGAAAAUGUGGAUUUUUAAAAUAGGGACUCUUCCUAGGGGAAAAAGGGGGGCUGGGAGUGAUAGAGGGUUUAAAAAAUAAACACCUUCAAACUAACUUCUUCGAACCCUUUUAUUCACUCCCUGACGACUUUGUGCUGGGGUUGGGGUAACUGAACCGCUUAUUUCUGUUUAAUUGCAUUCAGGCUGGAUCUUAGAAGACUUUUAUCCUUCCACCAUCUCUCUCAGAGGAAUGAGCGGGGAGGUUGGAUUUACUGGUGACUGAUUUUCUUUCAUGGGCCAAGGAACUGAAAGAGAAUGUGAAGCAAGGUUGUGUCUUGCGCAUGGUUAAAAAUAAAGCAUUGUCCUGCUUCCUAAGACUUAGACUGGGGUUGACAAUUGUUUUAGCAACAAGACAAUUCAACUAUUUCUCCUAGGAUUUUUAUUAUUAUUAUUUUUUCACUUUUCUACCAAAUGGGUUACAUAGGAAGAAUGAACUGAAAUCUGUCCAGAGCUCCAAGUCCUUUGGAAGAAAGAUUAGAUGAACGUAAAAAUGUUGUUGUUUGCUGUGGCAGUUUACAGCAUUUUUCUUGCAAAAUUAGUGCAAAUCUGUUGGAAAUAGAACACAAUUCACAAAUUGGAAGUGAACUAAAAUGUAAUGACGAAAAGGGAGUAGUGUUUUGAUUUGGAGGAGGUGUAUAUUCGGCAGAGGUUGGACUGAGAGUUGGGUGUUAUUUAACAUAAUUAUGGUAAUUGGGAAACAUUUAUAAACACUAUUGGGAUGGUGAUAAAAUACAAAAGGGCCUAUAGAUGUUAGAAAUGGGUCAGGUUACUGAAAUGGGAUUCAAUUUGAAAAAAAUUUUUUUAAAUAGAACUCACUGAACUAGAUUCUCCUCUGAGAACCAGAGAAGACCAUUUCAUAGUUGGAUUCCUGGAGACAUGCGCUAUCCACCACGUAGCCACUUUCCACAUGUGGCCAUCAACCACUUAAGAUGGGGUUAGUUUAAAUCAAGAUGUGCUGUUAUAAUUGGUAUAAGCAUAAAAUCACACUAGAUUCUGGAGAUUUAAUAUGAAUAAUAAGAAUACUAUUUCAGUAGUUUUGGUAUAUUGUGUGUCAAAAAUGAUAAUAUUUUGGAUGUAUUGGGU
rnacentral:lncRNA from 10 species